AUGGCUUCCUCUACCGCCACCGUAACCUCUGGUCUCUCUGGCCAAGUCACGGAAAAGCUUUCCCGCACCAACUUCAUCCUCUGGCGCACCCAAAUCACACCGCAAAACAGAGGAGCGGGAUUCUUCGGGUAUGUUGAUGGAACGAACCCGGAGCCGGCCAAACAAGUUGUCAUCAAGGACAAAGAUGGGAAGGAGGAGACCAUCCCAAAUCCCCUUCGCGCUGUCUAGAUCCGAGAGGAUCAGCAGGUACUCGGCUAUCUAUUGAACAAUCUCACCAAAGAAGUUCUAGUGCAGGUUACCUCCAUCUUCCAUGCACAUGAACUCUGGGCAGCCUUGGCGAGCAUGUUCUCGUCCCAGUCGCUGUCGAGGGUCAACAACAUCCGCAUCGCACUAGUGAAUGCACAGAAGGGCACGCAGUCCGUGGCAACCUACUUCGCACACACGCGCUCUCUGGCGGAUGAGCUUGCUGCAGCAGGCAAACCUCUUCAAGAUGACAGCGAGCUGAUCUCCUACAUCCUUGCUGGAUUGGAUAUGGAGUAUCAGCCGCUAGUCUCUGCCCUCGAUACCCGCACACAGCUGGUCACCCUGGAUGAUCUCUUCGCCCAGAUGAGUAACUUCGACUAG
rnacentral:rRNA from 1 species